AGAUGCGAGGGCAAUCUGGCUGCAACAUCUGUCGCCCCACGGAUCGCCAGGGUUGAUUUGGCUGAUCUGGCUGGCGAGGGGGGUGUCCCCUUCCUCCCUAUCCACUGCAUGUGCAUCGCUCCCGAAGCUGCACGAUCAGUCGAUGAGGACGACCUUCCCCGGUAGAGACGCAACAUUCAUCAGUCAGGCUUAUAGGGUAGCUGCACUCCCCUCCUAGAACCUCCAAACAACUGAUAUUUAAAAACAGUUUUCAAUUUCAGACAAAAGUCCUCUCUCUCAAAAAACAAGUUAAAAUCUGACUUGGUGCACUGUAAGACUUC
rnacentral:snRNA from 1 species